AGUGGUAAUUCUAGAGCUAAUACAUGCUGAAAAUCCCGACUUCGGAAGGGACGUAUUUAUUAGAAUCAGAACCAAUGCCCUUCGGGGUUUCCUGGUGACUCAUGAUAACUCCACAGAUCGCAUGGCCUUGCGCCGGCGAUGGCUCAUUCAAAUUUCUUCCCUAUCAACUUUCGACGGUACGGUCUUGGCCUACCGUGGUUGUAACGGGUGACGGAGGGUUAGGGCUCGACCCCGGAGAGAGAGCCUGAGAAACGGCUAUCACAUCCAAGGAAGGCAGCAGGCGCGCAAAUUAUCCAAUCCCGACUCGGGGAGAUAGUGACAAUAAAUACCGAUACAGGGCUCUUUUGGGCCCUGUAAUUGGAAUGAGUACAAUUUAAACCUCUUAACGAGGAACAAUUGGAGGGCAAGUCUGGUGGACUUCCAGUCCCGUGCUGGCGCCAGCAAGAGUGGGAGGCACGCUGCGGCGAGUCUUCUGACCCACUAGUCGAGCAUCCACUCAUUGACGGGAGGGUGCCGGCGAGACAACCUGGAUCGGGGAAGGCUAAGGGGCGAGAGCCCUAUGCUAAUCCCGAGCAGAGCUACCCGGAAGUGAUUCCAGGAUAGCCUGUGUAGAGCGCGCCAAGGUGUCGGUCGCUCUGCGGAUGACCUAUCCGCAGGCGGCUUAAGGUACGUGCCGACCCCCGCGAAAGCGGGUCCCUGCUUGGAACGCCCGUCACGUAAAGGGCAGGGAGCAACCGGGGUUUUGGAAUUUAUUUCCAAGCAGUCCUAGUUGCGGAGCAAGUGUAAGUCAUUGCAACGCAAUGACUUGUACCCAACGGCCAGCAGCCGCGGUAAUUCCAGCUCCAAUAGCGUAUAUUAAAGUUGUUGUGGUUAAAAAGCUCGUAGUCGAACCUCGAGCCUGGCCGGCCGGUCCGCCUCACCGCGUGCACUGGUCUGGCCGGGCUCUUCCCUCUGCGGAACCGCAUGUCCUUCACUGGGCGUGUCGGGGAGGCAGGACUUUUACUUUGAAAAAAUUAGAGUGCUCAAGGCAGGCCAAUGCUCGAAUACAUUAGCAUGGAAUAAUAGAAUAGGACGUUGGUUCUAUUUUGUUGGUUUCUAGGACCGCCGUAAUGAUCAAUAGGGACGGUCGGGGGCAUCAGUAUUCAGCCGUCAGAGGUGAAAUUCUUGGACCGGCUGAAGACUAACUACUGCGAAAGCAUUUGCCAAGGACGUUUUCGCUGAUCAGGAACGAAAGUUAGGGGAUCGAAGACGAUCAGAUACCGUCGUAGUCUUAACCAUAAACUAUGCCGACUAGGGAUCGGGCGGCGUUCUUUCUAGACCCGCUCGGCACCUUUCGAGAAAUCAAAGUGCUUGGGCUCCAGGGGGAGUAUGGCGGCAACGCUGAAACUUAAAGAAAUUGACGGAAGGGCACCACCAGGGGUAAACGUGAUUUGCUUAAGCCGCAAUCAGAUCUGCUCCAGAAAGCCGCCUGAAAGGGUUAGUGGUUGUCCCGGCAUUGCGCCAAACUUAAAGGCUAGUCUUCCCUGCGGAAGGCAACACCCUCAAAUUGCGGGAAACUCCUAAAGCUCUUGCUCCAAAGCCGGUCCGUGAAAGCGGUCGGUGGCCAGGUUAACAGCCUCGGGUGUUGGAAAAACGCGAGAGAUGUGACAAUGGACAAUCCGCAGCCAAGCGCCUACGUGCCCGUUUUGUUAUCAGCAAUGAUUCACUACUGGUAUACGGUGAAGGUUCAGAGACUUGACGGGGGUGGGUAGGUAAAAGCUGUAAAAUUCUCAGGUCCCUAGCCUGAUUUGCUUGUCCUGCUUAAGAUAAAGUCCGGCCCCGCACGAAAGUACGAGGGAAAAUAAACGGGAACCUGCGGCUUAAUUUGACUCAACACGGGGAAACUCACCAGGUCCAGACACAAUGAGGAUUGACAGAUUGAGAGCUCUUUCUUGAUUUUGUGGGUGGUGGUGCAUGGCCGUUCUUAGUUGGUGGGGUGACUUGUCUGCUUAAUUGCGAUAACGAACGAGACCUUGACUUCUAAAUAGCUCGCAUCGCUCCGGCGGUGUUGCGGCUUCUUAGUGGGACUAUCGGCUCAAGCCGAUGGAAGUUCGAGGCAAUAACAGGU
rnacentral:rRNA from 1 species